GCGUAUACAGAUUACAGAACCGAACUUGUAUCAGUAACUUACCAACGACCAACGUCGAGCUCAAAUGAAGUACCCCUUUUUCCUUUUGUUUUGCAAAGAACAUUCCCUUUGCUGCAAAAAAAAAGGAGGAGAAAUAAUUGAUAAAUACUACACAGAUAUGACCAAAGUAGGAUUAUUCGGCAUCCUUCACUGCUGCUAAAGAAGUCAAAACUCUCACGAACAGUAGGUGUGAAACAAGUUAAGCAACCUAGACAUUAUCAAUAAAAUAAAAUGGUUAUCGAGUGUGAAACAUGACGCACAUCAAGAUGAAACCAUAAAGAAAUCACGCACCUUCAUCAAUCAUACAGUGCUUCUUCUUCUUUUUUUUCAAGGACUGGCACGAAGAGCUCGCACUUUCAUCAAAUACUAUAUGCUAACCCACCUAACUGCGACUUGUGCGAACCUGGAAAAUUUUAAUCAAAGAUAUCUAGUGGAAAGAGAUCUUCUGAACGGUUCUUUUCAAAAUUUUCCAUUCGAUGCCGGGCAGCCAUGGUUGACUGAACACAAGAGAAAGGAUGCGAGACAUAUUUGCACAUGACUGUAGCAGGCCUGCUGAAGCUGUGCUUCUUUUCGAACAGCAUUUGAUGUUGCUUUGGCUGGUCUUUCUAGGAAAUUGCCA
rnacentral:lncRNA from 1 species